rnacentral:rRNA from 1 species
CCUACGGGAGGCAGCAGUGGGGAAUAUUGCACAAUGGGCGCAAGCCUGAUGCAGCGACGCCGCGUGAGGGAUGACGGCCUUCGGGUUGUAAACCUCUUUCAGUAGGGAAGAAGCGAAAGUGACGGUACCUGCAGAAGAAGCGCCGGCUAACUACGUGCCAGCAGCCGCGGUAAUACGUAGGGCGCAAGCGUUAUCCGGAAUUAUUGGGCGUAAAGAGCUCGUAGGCGGUUUGUCGCGUCUGCUGUGAAAGACCGGGGCUCAACUCCGGUUCUGCAGUGGGUACGGGCAGACUAGAGUGCAGUAGGGGAGACUGGAAUUCCUGGUGUAGCGGUGAAAUGCGCAGAUAUCAGGAGGAACACCGAUGGCGAAGGCAGGUCUCUGGGCUGUAACUGACGCUGAGGAGCGAAAGCAUGGGGAGCGAACAGGAUUAGAUACCCUGGUAGUCCAUGCCGUAAACGUUGGGCACUAGGUGUGGGGGACAUUCCACGUUUUCCGCGCCGUAGCUAACGCAUUAAGUGCCCCGCCUGGGGAGUACGGCCGCAAGGCAAAACUCAAAUGAAUUGACGG